CGUAAGCAUCAGCAGAUUCUGUCAACUUCUUCAUAUGUUCUGUGUUUUCCCUUCUGCACUCCGCAUUCGCAUUAUCGCUUUUGCCUCGUGUCAAAAUACGCAUUUGCAUCACCUAUAGAACAUCAUUGCUGCAAGUUAUUCAACAUGAUUGCUUUUUUUUUUAGAGAAAGGAGCCACGCUCCCGAUUUCAUUGAAGAAACCGCAUCGGUCCAUAGUUCAGAUAAAGAUAAAAGAUAUUCAACAUGAUUGAUAUCUUAGGGAAAUAUAGAUAAAGAUAUGUUUGACAAAAGGACAAGUUCUCAUUAUGGUGGAAAGUCCAAGUUGUGUUACUCCCUCCGGUCAGAAUUACUUGUCGAAAUAUUACAUGUAUCUAUACGCUUUUUACACAUAGAUACUCCCGUAUUUGGGCAAUUUUGAGACAAGUAAUACCGGUCGGAGGAAGUACUACUCACUCCGACUAAUAUUACUUGUCUCAAAUUUGCCCAAAUAUGGAUGUAUCUAUAUUUAAAAAGCAUUUAGAUACAUGUAAUAUUUUGACAAGUAAUAUGGAUCGGAGGGAGUAUUAUUCUUGUUCAAACCCCAAAGAGUAUAGCAAAACCGUUGAAUGUAAGAGAAAUCGUGUCCACUUGUUGUACUCCAUAUUUCAACAGGAAGGUGAUAGAUGAAGAAUAAUACUCCCUCCGAUCCAUAUUAUUUGUCUCAAAUUUGCCUAAAUAUGAAUGUAUCUAUGUUUAAAAGGCGUCUAGAUACAUGUAAUAUUUCGACAAGUAAUAUGGAUCGGAGGGAGUAUGAAAAUUCAGUAGUAAAUGCAGGGACAGAAUUAUUGAACAGAACGCAACUCAGGAGAAACUGAAAAGGAAUUCCACAUGUUCAACACAUAGAGUGCUCAGUGGAAGCUGGCAGAGUAACUAUCAAUUCAACUUCUGGCCUAUGCAGAGGUGUCAUGUUGGACGAUUACCGGCGAAAGGCAGGCGACGCGCAUUCGGUCUCUGUAUCUCAAAUCUGUCCUGAGACAGGAUAUAUCAUUCUUUGACACAGAAAUGACAACAGGAAAAAUAGUUUCAAGAAUGUCGGGUGAUACGGUGUUAGUUCAGGAUGCUAUCGGUGAGAAGGUAAGUACUUCUUAGAAGUUAAGUGAAGAGCGGAUGAGAAAAAUUGUGGUCAUUAUCUUCCAGCUCAUAUGAAACUGUGAAAUUAUCUUCAGGUUGGCAAGUUUCUACAACUUGUGGCUUCAUUCCUCGGGGGAUUUGCAGUAGCUUUUGUCAAAGGAUGGCUUCUAUCUCUUGUCAUGUUGGCAUGCAUACCCCCUGUUGUAAUUGCUGGAGGAGCAGUGUCAAAAGUGCUAUCCAAAAUCUCUAGCCGAGGACAAACAUCAUACGGUGAUGCAGGCAAUGUUGUAGAACAGACAAUUGGAGCAAUAAAAACAGUAAGUUCGGUUCAGAAAGCAAUUUAAACAAUUGCUAGUAUAAACAUUCCUUGGAAAACAAAAACAUGCUUCAUGAGUACUGACUAGUUAUCUUGUGAAUAUGUCUGUAAAAAGGUUGUCUCUUUCAAUGGCGAGAAGCAAGCCAUCGCUACAUACAAUAAACUCAUACACAAAGCAUACAAGACUACUGUGGAGGAAGGACUUACCAAUGGCUUUGGCUUGGGUUCUGUUUUCUUCAUAUUUUUCUCUAGCUAUGGUUUAGCCGUAUGGUACGGUGGGAAAUUGAUAUUUAGCAGAGGAUACUCAGGAGGUCAGGUCAUCACUGUAUUGAUGGCUAUCAUGACUGGGGCAAUGUGAGUUAUUUACCUUAAAGCAGAAUUCAUAGCAUAGUGAUGCUUCCUGGUGCAUAUUUGGUUGUGAUAAUUUCCAAAUGUGUGUGGCAGGUCUUUAGGUAAUGCAACCCCAUGUCUUCCAGCCUUUGCAAGAGGACAAUCUGCCGCAUAUAGGUUGUUCACAACAAUCAAGAGGAAACCAGACAUAGAUCCUGAUGACAGAACAGGUAAGCAGUUAGAAGACAUCAGGGGUGAGGUUAAGCUAAAGGAUGUGUAUUUCAGCUACCCAGCAAGGCCUGAGCAACUGGUAUUUGAUGGAUUCUCAUUACAUGUGGCUAGUGGCACUACAAUGGCUAUAGUUGGAGAGAGUGGCAGUGGCAAGUCAACUGUGAUUAGUCUUGUAGAGAGAUUUUACGAUCCACAGGCUGGUGAGGUUUUGAUUGAUGGGAUGAAUAUCAGAAGUUUACGGCUUGACUCAAUAAGAGGGAAAAUUGGUCUUGUUAGCCAAGAGCCCUUGCUCUUUAUGACCUCAAUUAAAGAUAAUAUAACAUAUGGCAAAGAAAAUGCAACAAUAGAAGAGAUCAAGAGAGCUGCCGAGCUUGCCAACGCAGCAAAUUUCAUUGAGAAGUUGCCCAAUGUGAGUGCUAAAUUUAAUAAGUUGACUCAUGGAAAUCUGAGCUGUUCCAUUUGAACUGAGUGCUAAUACUAACUUCUAUCACAUACCAGGGUUACGAUACAAUGGUUGGCCAGCGCGGUGCCCAGCUUUCAGGGGGACAAAAGCAAAGGAUUGCAAUUACAAGAGCAAUCAUUAAGAACCCAAAAAUACUAUUGUUAGAUGAGGCUACUAGCGCAUUGGAUGUGGGGUCAGAGAGGAUAGUUCAGGAGGCACUGAACAGAAUCAUGGUAGACAGAACUACCCUCGUGGUUGCACAUCGUUUAACUACUGUGAGGAAUGCUGAUUGCAUAUCAGUUGUUCAACAAGGAAAGAUAGUUGAGCAAGGUCAGGAAUCCACUCCCAACACCCACGAUUUAUCAAUCACCUGUUUAGCACAUUUUCACUAAAAAUUGAUCAAUUUCUUACAUUAAUAUUUAUUUACAGGUUGCCACGAUGAAUUAGUACUAGACCCAGAUGGUGCUUACUCUCAACUUAUUCGGCUUCAGGAAAGUCGUGAAGAAGAAGAGCAGAAAGUAGACAGUCGGAUGUCUGAUCCAAUGUCUAAAAGUACAAGCUUGUCAUUGAAGCGGUCGAUUAGUAGAAAUUCUUCUCAAAAUAGUAGUAGACAUUCUUUCACCCUCCCCUUUGGGCUGCCUGGCACAGUUGAAUUGACUGAAACCAAUGAUUCAAACGGGAAUAAUGAGAACAAGCAGGAUGGUGAUUGUGAGGUCCCAAAGAAAGCUCCCCUGGGACGGCUAGCACUUCUUAACAAGCCAGAGGUACCUAUUCUUCUGUUAGGAUCUAUAGCCGCAGGAGUUCAUGGAGUGCUUUUCCCAUUGUUUGGUGUGAUGAUUUCCAGUGCCAUUAAAACUUUCUAUGAGCCACCAGAGAAGCUCAAAAAGGAUUCUAGUUUUUGGGGUCUGAUGUGUGUUGUGCUUGGCGUCGUUUCGAUAAUCUCAAUACCAGUAGAAAUGUUCUUGUUUGGAAUAGCCGGAGGGAAGCUUAUAGAGCGCAUCCGCGCGUUGUCCUUUCGAAGCAUUGUACACCAAGAAGUUGCUUGGUUUGAUGAUCCUAAAAACUCCAGGUUAGCUACCUUUUUUCUCUUGGUUCUGUGAACUUACCUUUCAGGCACUAACUAAUUGCCAAAUUAUAUAAUUCAGCGGAGCACUUGGUGCAAGACUGUCGGUUGAUGCUUUGAAUGUCCGGCGUUUAGUGGGAGAUAACUUGGGCUUAACAGUUCAGAUCAUUUCGACACUGAUCGCAGGAUUUAUCAUUGCUAUGGUUGCUGACUGGAAGCUCUCUUUUAUCAUACUGUGUGUGAUUCCAUUAGUGGGUCUUCAAGGAUAUGCCCAAAUGAAGUUCUUGGAGGGUUUCAGUCAAGAUGCUAAGGUAAUCCAUCAAAGAUACACAUUAAGAUGUUCUUCUAGUGAUAUGACAUGUAGCAAACCGCCAAAAAUAAAUUGCACACCCUGUCGUUCCAUAAAAGCUGUUGUUUGCAUCAUAAUAUUUUAAAAACCUAACUAAGUUAUAUACUCCGAGAUCACCUUUUGAGACAAUUUACACAUAUAGUUUGAUAAAAAAUAAUUCCGAAGAUAUCGACAGUCAAAGUUCCAAAAGUUUUUUAUCUGCCGCAUGUGCAAAAUCGAACCUUUUAGCGAACCGGAAGGCGGGAGGAGUAAUAGAACAUGUCGAGUUUGCUACUCUAGCUAGGCAUCCAUGCUUUGGUACGUAUAAAAAUAUAUAUAACCAUUUAAUUCAAAAAAAAUGUCGUCAGCCCAGCCUUCACAUCUCCCCUAUGCCAUCGUGCUCAAUUUGAGUUCUGCCACGGCCAGUGUCACGCCUCCUUGUUCAUGCUUGGGCUGAAACUUUAUACAGUCUCCUCAGAUCCACAGCCACACAUCUAGUCAUGCUUCUUUGUGUCCCAUGCCAUGCUCCAUUUUUUGCCAGAGCUUUUUAAGGAGGCAAAGUUAGUUUGUUUAGUGAGAAGCUUCGUUGUGUUUCAGUUUUUGUACAGAUCUUUAGCAAGGUGAGAAAGGGAGGUGGAAGACUGCAUUUACUCUAUAUAACAUUUUUCCACUUUCUCAAAACGUGUUGAGUUACUGAUAAUGGAUUUUUGGUUCUACAGAUGAUGCAUGAAGAUGCAAGUCAAGUGGCCACAGACGCAAUUAGUAGUAUCAGGACUGUAGCUUCUUUUUGUUCUGAGAAAAGAAUUACAAACAUAUAUGAUCAUAAAUGUGAAACGUCGAUGAAUCAAGGAGUCAGAACAGGAUUAAUUGGAGGCAUUGGGUUUGGUUUCUCAUUCUUAAUGUUGUACCUGACGUACGCCCUUUGUUUCUACAUUGGAGCGCAAUUCGUGCGCCAAGGCAAAUCAAAUUUUGGUGACGUUUUCCAGGUAUGUAAAUGCACUAUUUCAGUAGUAAUUUUUUCUAAUUCAGGGUUUCUCUUCUCCCUAAGAAAAUCUUUUCAAUCUUAAUACCUCCAUCCUUAACCACAAUCACUAUCGCAAGGUGAUUUCAUGCAGUAGGUUAUACUUUGCAGGUUUUCCUUGCACUUGUUAUAGCAACUACUGGAGUAUCUCAAACAAGUGCAAUGGCUACCGAUUCAGCAAAAGCAACAGAUUCAGCUAUCUCUAUAUUUGCUCUGCUGGACCGAAAUUCUGAAAUUGACUCAAGCAGCAGUGAGGGAUUGACAUUAGAUGAGGUCAAGGGAAACAUCGAUUUCCGACAUGUCAGCUUCAAGUACCCAACUCGCCCAGAUAUUCAAAUCUUCAGUGACUUUACCUUGCACAUUCCUUCUGGCAAGGUUAGCCUACUUUUCCUGUCCUCGUCGCAUUGCUAUAUCUUCUGCGGUGAUGUACCUAUGAGCUAACUUUUGUUAUGGGCUUAUAUAGACUGUUGCACUUGUUGGAGAGAGUGGUAGCGGCAAGUCAACAGUAAUUGCAUUGUUGGAGCGAUUCUACAACCCUGAUUCAGGUACCAUCUCAUUAGAUGGAGUGGAAAUCAAGAGCUUAAACAUCAAUUGGUUGAGGGGCCAAACAGGACUGGUGAGCCAAGAGCCUGUACUCUUCGACAACACAAUCCGUGCCAACAUAGCCUACGGUAAGGAUGGGGAGGUCACGGAGGAGGAGCUCAUUGCGGCUGCGAAGGCAUCCAAUGCACAUGAGUUCAUAUCAAGCCUUCCCCAAGGAUAUGAUACCACUGUUGGGGAGAGAGGGAUACAGCUAUCCGGUGGCCAGAAGCAGCGGGUAGCUAUUGCAAGGGCCAUGCUGAAAGAUCCCAAGAUACUACUACUUGAUGAAGCUACUAGUGCCUUGGAUGCCGAGUCUGAGCGCAUUGUGCAGGAUGCUUUAGACCAUGUGAUGAUUGGCAGGACCACGGUUGUUGUGGCGCACCGCCUCUCGACGAUCAAAAGUGCUGAUAUCAUUGCAGUUCUCAAGGAUGGUGCAAUAGUAGAGAAAGGAAGACAUGAGACGCUGAUGAACAUCAAAGAUGGGAUGUACGCUUCACUAGUAGAACUUCGUGCAGCAGCAGCAUGAUACAUAGGAUAAGUUUUGGUACUUACCUCUAUUCAUGUAGUACAUCACUACAUCUUACUUGAUCCCAUUUUGUUGCUGUUUAAUUAUGGUACAGUUAUUCUUUAGGACUUGAAGAGGAAUUUGAGAAUUAAGCUAGUGUUUAAUGUAUCUAUGUAGUGUAAAAUUGUAUGCAUUUAGAAGGAAUGCUUCUGUUUCUGUUUUUAAUUUUGAAGUGCCUUUUCCCAUAUCGAUGUGUAAAUGAGUGUAAUUUCUGUUGUAUGCCUGUACCUAAUACCAACAUAAAUGUGAAGAUCAGCUUGCAAAAUUUUAACAUCUGUGUAAUACAAAGAUUCUCAGCUAUCUUUUUCAGAUGUUCUAGGUAUUUUCUGUUUAGCAACUGAUAUUAUUGCGGUUAAAUGAGCAAGUGCUUAGGUAGGGAGUAAGGAGAUGACAAGAAUCAAGACUUACCAUUGCACCAGCAAUGUCAAGGUAGGCACUGGAGGAUCAGAGGCUCCGAACGACCAUAUGGAGAUCCUGAUUGGAGGCUCGGAGCUCAUCAAACCAGCGCCUCGCGGAUCCAUGGUUGUGGACUCCAAACGACCAUACGGAGAUCCUGACCAGUG
rnacentral:lncRNA from 1 species